rnacentral:rRNA from 1 species
UACGUAGGUGGCAAGCGUUGUCCGGAAUUAUUGGGCGUAAAGCGCGCGCAGGCGGUCCUUUAAGUCUGAUGUGAAAGCCCACGGCCCAACCGUGGAGGGUCAUUGGAAACUGGGGGACUUGAGUACAGAAGAGAAGAGUGGAAUUCCACGUGUAGCGGUGAAAUGCGUAGAGAUGUGGAGGAACACCAGUGGCGAAGGCGACUCUUUGGUCUGUAACUGACGCUGAGGCGCGAAAGCGUGGGGAGCAAGCAGG